AUGCCAGAAUGCCGUGCGACCCCUGGACCAGUUCUCAUCGCCUCCAUUUUCCCUUGGCCCGCAAACCGCCCCACCUCCGCGCUACCCUUUUCGGGGCUGCGUCCCACCCACCCGCAAACCCAGCUCAACCCCGCCCCCGCUCGCCUCUCGGGGAAGACUUCCUUCCCACCCACGCCCAACCUCCUCCCACAAGCAAAACAUUCCAGACAGGCCCCUAGCCUCCAAAUACCUCAGUUAACAGUAUUUCCCACACCUCCCUGCUUCCAGCUACAACGGCUCUUUUUCACCAAGCGGACCCCAGACUGGAGACACAGGGGUCGGCCUCGAAGGGGGAGUACCAAACCAGCUGGCCUUGUAAGGAUUCUUCACCAACUUGGCACACCGAAAAAUCAUCACAAUUAGGAACAGAAACAGAAGAACAACAAAGGCAAUGGCGAAGGCUUUGUCUACGUCAACACUGCUUGACAGGCUUGAAUCAUCCAUGAGAACACACACCUCUUUACCCUUGUUUAGCUGUAGCUACCUCUUCAGGUAUAUCUUCAGGUUUGUCAUAUUCCUAGACAAAAGAGGAUAAAACAAGCUUAUUGGUUCAUAUAUGUAUGCAUGUGUUUUCUUAAUAACAUUAUGUUAGGGACACCUGGGUGGCUCAGUGGUUGAGCAUCUGCCUUUGGCUCAGGGUCUGAUCCCAGAGUUCUGAGAUCGAGUCCCACAUCGGGCUCCCUGCAUGGAGCCUGCUUCUCCCUUUGCCUAUGUCUCUGCCUCUCUCUGUGUGUCUCUCGUGAAUAAAUAAAUAAAAUCUUUAAAAAAAAGUUGCA
rnacentral:lncRNA from 1 species